CCCUCCCUCACGCCCGCUCCCUCCCGGCGCUGUCGGCAGGCAGCAGGCGAGGUGCCGGGAAGGCGCUGCGCCCAGGACGCCCGGACGCCGCGGCGGGAGAGGCGCAGGCGGCGCUGCGGCCCGGAGCCCCCGCCCGGCCGGCGCGAGGGGCGGUGGGUCCCGAGCGGCGCUCGCGGGGCAACUGGCAGUGGAUGAGACCUCUAUGGCAACAUUUUAAUGAAGAUACUACUAAGGGAGCUGGAGCAGUGGAGGGAGGCAUAAACAGGCAGUCAUUUGCAACUUGACCAAUAACAAUAUAGUAUUUAAGGAAUGUUAUCCAUUCCAAUUAUUUUGUCACAAGAAUAAAGGUCCAUCUUAAAAAAGAGAGUAGAAGAGGGGAAGACAGACAGAAAUAGCAGUGUGAGAAAAGCACAUGGAUUCUUUUCUUCCUGCUAGUGCCUGACCAGGGAGGGCCUGGGCCUGGGCUUGCAACUGAGAGGAGGGAAGAAGGGAAAGUGAUUUCUGACCCGAGGAGUGUGACUUUGGUGUGAAAGAUGAUUUAUGGAGUGAAAGGAGAAGAGCAUAGAGAAUGGAGCCAUAGAGAACAUCAACAAUUAGGAGACAGUAGAAGGAGAAUAACCAGGAAGAGAGCAGAGGAGGAGAGGCUAGGAGAAUCAUGGAGAGAAACCAGGUGAGUUUUGUAACAUUUCUACGUUUAAAUCUACAAGGAGCUCUGCUACACCUUUCCCCUUCGUUGCCAAAUAAUUAUCAGGUGGUUGUGCAGUGACUGCUCAAUCUCCAAAUAUGGUCAGAAUCCUUUUUGCCUUCAUUUUCAUGGGCUGUUCCGGAACCCGUGCUUUUGUGUUUUGUAUUUUUAAAGG